rnacentral:misc_RNA from 1 species
GAGAACCAAGAUAUCCAUUGUUAACAGUUGUACGUUUUCCUCUACCACGGCGCACUUGCUAUGUGGUAGAGGCCUAAUUUAACUUGGUCGUCGUAAAGGGGCACUACACCCUGCAGUCUGUCCGCUUCGGCGUGUGAUACACCGGCGAUGGAGAAGCCUUACCCUAGAAACCGUCUAGCGACACUUUCAUCCGCCCGGCCAGGACUCCAGACUGGCGAUAGAAGGCUCAAACUGCCUGCUCGUAACAAGGUUUCCGUAGGUGAACCUGCGGAAGGAUCAUUAACACGUAUCCAACGUUAAACCCCCCGUGCACCUUCACAGAGCGCGCUGCUCCUCUCGACGUCAGCAAUCCUGGUAAAUCAGUGGCGAAAGUAGUCUUUGAUUCAGGACCUCUGAAGUUGUACUU